GGUUGAUCCCGCCCGGACCCCACUGCUAUCGAGAUGGGACUAAGGUAUGCUAGUCGAACGACCAGAACUAUGUCUGGGAGUGGCACACUGCUCAGUAACACGUAGCUAACCUACCCUUAGGACGUGGAUACCCCCGAGAAAUUGGGGUUAAUCCGCGAUAGAUGUAAUGUCCUGGAAUGGUAUUACGUCUAAAGGUAUUUCAUACAUGUUUGAAAUAUGCCUAAGGAUGGGGCUGCGGCCGAUCAGGCUGUUGGUGAGGUAAUGGCUCACCAAACCUUUGACCGGUACGGGCCAUGAGAGUGGUAGCCCGGAGAUGGACACUGAGACAAGGGUCCAGGCCCUAAGGGGCGCAGCAACCGCGAAACCUCCACAAUGCACUCACGUGCGAUGGGGCUAUCUCGAGUGCCACCUGAUGAAGGUGGCUUUUCCUUGGUCUUCAAAGCCUUGGGAAUAAGAGGGGGGCAAGACUGGUGUCAGCCGCCGCGGUAACACCAGCCCCUCGAGUGGUGGGGAUGAUUAUUUGGCCUAAAGCGUCCGUAGCCGGCCGUGAAAGUCUUCCGUUAAAUCCAGCGUCUCAAGCGUUGGACCGCGGGAGAUACUACAUGGCUAGAGAGUGGGAGAGGUCAGCGGUAUUCUGGGGGUAGGGGCGAAAUCCUUUGAUCCCCGGAGGACCACCAGUGGCGAAGGCUGCUGACUAGAACACGUCUGACGGUCAGGGACGAAAGCUGGGGUAGCGAACCGGAUUAGAUACCCGGGUAGUCCCAGCCGUAAACGAUGCAUGCUAGGUGUUGGGUUGGCCACGAGCCACCCCAGUGCCGCAGGGAAGCCGUUAAGCAUGCCGCCUGGGAAGUACGAUCGCAAGAUUGAAACUUAAAGGAAUUGGCGGGGGAGCACCACCAGGCGUGAAGCCUGCGGUUUAAUUGGAGUCAACGCCGGG
rnacentral:rRNA from 1 species